UAGGGAAUCUUCGGCAAUGGACGAAAGUCUGACCGAGCAACGCCGCGUGAGUGAAGAAGGUUUUCGGAUCGUAAAACUCUGUUGUUAGAGAAGAACAAGGACGUUAGUAACUGAACGUCCCCUGACGGUAUCUAAUCAGAAAGCCACGGCUAACUACGUGCCAGCAGCCGCGGUAAUACGUAGGUGGCAAGCGUUGUCCGGAUUUAUUGGGCGUAAAGCGAGCGCAGGCGGUUUCUUAAGUCUGAUGUGAAAGCCCCCGGCUCAACCGGGGAGGGUCAUUGGAAACUGGGAGACUUGAGUGCAGAAGAGGAGAGUGGAAUUCCAUGUGUAGCGGUGAAAUGCGUAGAUAUAUGGAGGAACACCAGUGGCGAAGGCGGCUCUCUGGUCUGUAACUGACGCUGAGGCUCGAAAGCGUGGGGAGCAAACAGG
rnacentral:rRNA from 2 species